GUAGACCCGAAACCGGGUGAUCUAUCCAUGGGCAGAGUGAAGGUAAAGUAAAAUUUACUGGAGGCUCGAACCGGGUAGCGUUUAAAAGCUAUCGGAUGACCUGUGGAUAGGGGUGAAAAGCCAAUCGAACUCGGAUAUAGCUGGUUCUCCUCGAAAUAGCUUUAGGGCUAGCCUUGUUUUAGAUUACAGGAGGUAGAGCACUGAAUAGUCUAGGGGAAGUAAUUCUACCGAAACUUAUCAAACUCCGAAUGCCUGAAAAUCGAUGAACAGGAGUCAGACCAUGAGGGAUAAGCUUCAUAGUCAAAAGGGAAACAGCCCAGACCACCAGUUAAGGUCCCAAAAUACAGAUUAAGUGGGAAAGGAUGUAAUACUACUCAGACAACCAGGAUGUUGGCUCAGAAGCAGCCAUACAUUUAAAGAGUGCGUAAUAGCUCACUGGUCAAGUGGUAAUGCGCCGAAGAUGAACGGGGCUAAAUCUGAUACCGAAACUGUGGGAUAGAAAAGCAAUUAUGCGAGAAGUAUGGUUAAGAUUAGGAAAUAUAUCAACUAGUAAAGUAAGAGAGAAAGACAUAAACAAAAUUUGUGAAAACACAAAGCGUAAAACUAUUAAACGAUACAAUUUCUAAAAACUUAACAACAUACAACUGGCAUAAUAGCUUUUCUAUCGGUAGAGGAGCGUUGUAUAUGAGAAGAAGCAAAAAGCGUAAGCAAUUGUGGAUUAUAUACAAGUGAGAAUGCUGGCAUGAGUAGCGAAAAGGGAUGUGAGAAUCAUCCCCGUCGAAAGCCCAAGGAUUCCUGAGCAAGGCUCGUCCUCUCAGGGUAAGUCGGGACCUAAGGCGAGGACGAAAGGCGUAGUCGAUGGACCACAGGUAGAAAUUCCUGUACUACAAGAUUGUGAUUGAGAGAAGUACUGACGCAGAAGGAAAAGUCGAGCGUGCUGAUGGUUAUGCACGUCCAAAUAACAAGCCAGAAUAUACAGGCAAAUCCGUAUAUUCGUCAACGUAAGUUAUGAUGGGGAGCAGAAAGAUGCGAAGCGACAGAUUCAAACUGCCAAGAAAAGGUGCUAUCGAAUAAUCUUGUACCCGUACCGCAAACCGACACAGGUAGGCAAGAAGAGAAUUCUAAGACGCGCGGAAGAACCUUUGUUAAGGAACUCGGCAAAAUAAUCCCGUAAGUUAGCGAGAAGGGAUGCCUAAGAAAUUAGGUCGCAGAGAAUAGGCCCAAGCGACUGUUUACCAAAAACACAAGUAUCUGCUAAAUCGAAAGAUGAAGUAUAGGUGCUGACACCUGCCCGGUGCUGGAAGGUCAAGGGGACUUGUUAGAGCAAUCGAAGCAACGAACUUAAGCCCCAGUAAACGGCGGCCGUAACUAUAACGGUCCUAAGGUAGCGAAAUUCCUUGUCGGGUAAGUUCCGACCCGCACGAAAGGUGUAACGAUUUGGG
rnacentral:rRNA from 1 species